AUGAACGCUAGCUACAGGCUUAACACAUGCAAGUCGAGGGGCAUCAGGAAGAAAGCUUGCUUUCUUUGCUGGCGACCGGCGCACGGGUGAGUAACACGUAUCCAACCUGCCCUUUACUCGGGGAUAGCCUUUCGAAAGAAAGAUUAAUACCCGAUGGCAUAAUGAUUCCGCAUGGUUUCAUUAUUAAAGGAUUCCGGUAAAGGAUGGGGAUGCGUUCCAUUAGGUUGUUGGUGAGGUAACGGCUCACCAAGCCUUCGAUGGAUAGGGGUUCUGAGAGGAAGGUCCCCCACAUUGGAACUGAGACACGGUCCAAACUCCUACGGGAGGCAGCAGUGAGGAAUAUUGGUCAAUGGGCGCUAGCCUGAACCAGCCAAGUAGCGUGAAGGAUGAAGGCUCUAUGGGUCGUAAACUUCUUUUAUAUAAGAAUAAAGUGCAGUAUGUAUACUGUUUUGUAUGUAUUAUAUGAAUAAGGAUCGGCUAACUCCGUGCCAGCAGCCGCGGUAAUACGGAGGAUCCGAGCGUUAUCCGGAUUUAUUGGGUUUAAAGGGAGCGUAGGUGGACUGGUAAGUCAGUUGUGAAAGUUUGCGGCUCAACCGUAAAAUUGCAGUUGAUACUGUCAGUCUUGAGUACAGUAGAGGUGGGCGGAAUUCGUGGUGUAGCGGUGAAAUGCUUAGAUAUCACGAAGAACUCCGAUUGCGAAGGCAGCUCACUGGACUGCAACUGACACUGAUGCUCGAAAGUGUGGGUAUCAAACAGGAUUAGAUACCCUGGUAGUCCACACAGUAAACGAUGAAUACUCGCUGUUUGCGAUAUACAGUAAGCGGCCAAGCGAAAGCAUUAAGUAUUCCACCUGGGGAGUACGCCGGCAACGGUGAAACUCAAAGGAAUUGACGGGGGCCCGCACAAGCGGAGGAACAUGUGGUUUAAUUCGAUGAUACGCGAGGAACCUUACCCGGGCUUAAAUUGCAGUGGAAUGAUGUGGAAACAUGUCAGUGAGCAAUCACCGCUGUGAAGGUGCUGCAUGGUUGUCGUCAGCUCGUGCCGUGAGGUGUCGGCUUAAGUGCCAUAACGAGCGCAACCCUUAUCUUUAGUUACUAACAGGUCAUGCUGAGGACUCUAGAGAGACUGCCGUCGUAAGAUGUGAGGAAGGUGGGGAUGACGUCAAAUCAGCACGGCCCUUACGUCCGGGGCUACACACGUGUUACAAUGGGGGGUACAGAAGGCAGCUAGCGGGUGACCGUAUGCUAAUCCCAAAAUCCUCUCUCAGUUCGGAUCGAAGUCUGCAACCCGACUUCGUGAAGCUGGAUUCGCUAGUAAUCGCGCAUCAGCCACGGCGCGGUGAAUACGUUCCCGGGCCUUGUACACACCGCCCGUCAAGCCAUGAAAGCCGGGGGUACCUGAAGUGCGUAACCGCAAGGAGCGCCCUAGGGUAAAACUGGUGAUUGGGGCU
rnacentral:rRNA from 1 species